UUUAAUACAAAAAACAAGUAUUGAAAAAUGGACACUUGUUUAAGCCAGACCAUUCCAAAGAGAUGGGAUGAUUUCAGAUAUAUUAGUUAAUAAAGUCUUCACUUUCUUUAUCUUCUCUUAACACCAGCUUUAUUUCAGAGGGAGGUUAGAGGGGUUUCCUCCUGAGACCGGAGAGGAACAGAUUGUGGAAUUACUAUUGGGCUACAGGAGUACUGGACCUGCAGGCUUCUGGCACAUGAAGAGUCACUGGAGCAUAUGUCACCAGCACGAUUCAUUCAUUUAAAUUUAUGGAGUGGAAGUGGGCCAGGUAGCGCACCACAGUGACUGUCAACAGCACCUCCAUCUUCACAAACUUCACGUACACCCGUCCCAUCAUCCUACCAUAUGUCCCGCGAAACACAAUUUCUAAUGGACAAGGACAGCUGUAUCAGGCCCCUAAAAUCAUUCCCACCUCUCGCCCCACUGAAGCUAUGGCCCUGCAAACACAAUGGGUCAGAGUUUUAUUUCAGCAGGUUGUCACUCAGGUAAUCAAGUGGGACCUUUCACUGCAAACCAAUCAGUCUCAGUGAGCCCUAUUUGAGCAGCAUUAGCCAUCCUUCCCCUGAGCAUUACAUCAUUCUGAGGGACAACCGAGCCAAUCAACAGCCUGGCAGGAUUACACAGCAUAUGGGCAUGUCCUGACUGUGUUGGAGAACUAAACAGAGCAGCAUGAACAUUCUGCUUAACAUCUCUUAUUUCUCACUGGAAGAAGAAAGUCAUACAGGGUUGGAACAACAUGAAGGUACAGUAAGUAAAUGAUGACAGAUUUUAUUUUUUAUUUUUUGGUAAACAAUCCCUUGAAAGUCUUAUAUGAAUGUUUCGGAGAGGCAUUAUUUAUUUAUCUACAGUAUGCUGCUUGUCUGUGCAAUAAUGUUUGAGUAAAUUGGAACUUUUUCUCUCUUUCUGUCUGUGUAUGCACUUGUGCCCUCAAACCAUCAUGGAGAAAGUUAUCAAACUGAGCUGAACUUGAAAGCUGUGGCAGAAUUACAUAAUUGCAGACAAAUGUGGUACAAGCGAGAGAGCUGGAGAGCAGAAUGUGUUUAAAUAUUUAAGCCUCAUCAGUGAGAGCCUAAAGGCUUUGAUAAACCCUCUAGAGCUCUGAACUUUGAGAAGAAUACAGUUUUCCUUGCUUUACAAAUGCAGUUUUGUGUCUUGUCAUAAAGAGAAAUAAGAACUACAGAUCUUGUUUUGAACUUUCUGGGACAUUACAUGGCAGUAUUAUAAAAAGAACUGAGAACUGUUAAAUGUAGCUGUGAAUUGUACAAGCUGAUCACAUUUGACAGUUUUCCACACAAUACUCUAUGCAUGAUUCACUCAGCAGUUUGUCCUACAGCACCUGUACCAGACGUAUUUCUUCCUCCAUCUUUCCUGUGGUGAAACAUCAAGAGGGCCACAGGUAUUUAUAGCUUGUUAUGCUAACGGGGAGGAGAAAUAGGUCAAAAGUAGCUCAUUUAACUUGUUGUCACUAAACCUCUGGUGGCAGCAUGACCCUGGGCCUCCUACGCAUCAUCACUCAGUGACAGCCGCCCACCAUGCCCAGCCAGCUAUAAAAUCAGAAGGAGCGAAAUCUCUCCAGAGUGCUAGAUAUGUCAUCGUGCCUACCCACCCUCCCUCAGACAGUGCUAAAUAAUGAACAAGCUUAACAGCGUAUACAUGCAAACCUGGCAGCCCAGGGUUCAAUUAAGUGCUCUGGUGCUUUAAAGUGCCCUUGUUUCUUUCAUUAAGCUUACUAACCAUUUGCCAAAUGGUUUUGGAUUGGGUUAUCAUUCUCACAGAUAUAUCUAACCCGGUGCUGUUCUGCCACAUAUAGUGGAGGUGUCCCUUACGAAGAUGCUGGAAACACUUUAGUU